rnacentral:rRNA from 1 species
UUGCCCUAGUAACGGCGAGUGAAGCGGCAACAGCUCAAAUUUGAAAGCUAGCCUUCGGGUUCGCAUUGUAAUUUGUAGAGGAUGAUUUGGGGAAGCCGCCUGUCUAAGUUCCUUGGAACAGGACGUCAUAGAGGGUGAGAAUCCCGUAUGUGACAGGAAAUGGCACCCUAUGUAAAUCUCCUUCGACGAGUCGAGUUGUUUGGGAAUGCAGCUCUAAAUGGGAGGUAAAUUUCUUCUAAAGCUAAAUAUUGGCGAGAGACCGAUAGCGCACAAGUAGAGUGAUCGAAAGAUGAAAAGCACUUUGGAAAGAGAGUUAAAAAGCACGUGAAAUUGUUGAAAGGGAAGCGCUUGCAAUCAGACUUGUUUAAACUGUUCGGCCGGUCUUCUGACCGGUUUACUCAGUUUGGACAGGCCAGCAUCAGUUUCGGCGGCCGGAUAAAGGCUCUGGGAAUGUGGCCUCCACUUCGGUGGAGGUGUUAUAGCCCAGGGUGUAAUACGGCCAGCCGGGACUGAGGUCCGCGCUUCGGCUAGGAUGCUGGCGUAAUGGUUG